GCCAGGCAUGGUGGCAGGUGCCUGUAGUCUCAGCUACUUGGGAGGCUGAGGCAGGAGGAUCACUAGAGCCCAGGAGUUCUGGGCUAUAGUGUACUAUGCCCAUCGGGUAUCUGCACUAAGUUCAACGUUAUUAUGGUGACCUCCGGGGAGCAAGGAACCACCAGGCUGCCUAAGGAGUGGUGAACUGGCCCAGGUAGGAAACAGAGAAGGUCAAAACUCCCGUGCUGAUCAGUAGUGGGAUCGCACCUGUGAAUAGCCACUGUACUCCAGCCUGGGCAACAUAGUGAGACCCUGUCUCUA
ensembl:misc_RNA Metazoa_SRP Metazoan signal recognition particle RNA